rnacentral:lncRNA from 1 species
UGGGCUUUUUGAAUAUAUACCUGUAUGCUAUAGCGACAAGGUGUGUCGUGUAUAGUGUACAUGUCUGUCUGCAUGUUUCUUAUAUGACCAUAAUGACUUCAAUUGUGUUUGAUUUAUUAAAUGAUAGUAAGAUGUCUAUGUCUGGCUGCCGGUCAGGGUUCAUAAACCUUUGACCUUAUGUUCCGAAUUAAUUGGCCAAGCAUAACUUUUACAUUUGUCAGUUUCUAAGGCACUGUAAGGAUCGGAAACACAUUUAUUUGGUGUACGGGAUAUUUGUAGAGAUCUGUAUGGCAUGGUUCAUUUGACCUUGACCUUUUUUAUGAAACAUUGACAAUCUUAAGCGCAUUUGACACUUCUAGUAAAACCCUUGAUAUUAUAGACGUUUAACAAAUAUACUAUCAUAAGUAAAGCAAACAAGACAUUACAGCAUUUGCGCUUUGGAAUUCUAUAGUAUGUACUAUAUAGUUAAAUCAAUCCUUA